rnacentral:lncRNA from 1 species
GUAUGCUGCAAUCAAAAGAUUAGUAUAAACAGAAUAGGUCCUCACACACUCCUCUCUCUGGUGGACACUCUUUUAUGGCUUUUUCUUGAUGAUGAUCUCACCCUCUUGCCUUUUACCACUUAACUUCACCUUAUGAGCUCUUAAAUAAGAACCUUUUGGAUGUUUCUACACAACAGAAAACAGUAAGGAGUCGAUGAUAACCUUAGGGAACAAGAACUCGCAAGGAACAAUUUAAUUGGAACCAACAAAGGGUUCAAGGAAGGUUUGAAUUGAGAACAAUUCAAUGGAGGCG